CUGCUGACCCCAACCAAACCGUGCUGACUGUGGUAUUUUCUUUACACAUUGUCCUGAUCAUCUUUUCAGGUUUCAGCAACUAUGGUGAAUGCCUAACCAGGCCAGCUCAGUACAACUUGUACUGGUUUGACCAUGCUAACACAAUCCCAGUCUCAAUCCGUGUUCAAGCUGGUUUGAUCAUGCUAACACAAUCCCAGCCUCAAUCCUUGUUCAGGGAGGUUUGAUCAUGCUAACACAAUCCCAGCCUCAAUCCUUGUUCAGGGAGGUUUGAUCAUGCUAACACAAUCCCAGUCUCAAUCCUUGUUCAGGCUGGUUUGACCAUGCUAACACAAUCCCAGUCUCAAACCUUGUUCAGGGAGGUUUGACCAUGCUAACACAAUCCCAGUCUCAACCCUUGUUCAGGCUGGUUUGAUCAUGCUAACACAAUCCCAGUCUCAAUCCGUGUUCAGGCUGGUUUGAUCAUGCUAACACAAUCCCAGCCUCAACCCUUGUUCAGGGAGGUUUGAUCAUGCUAACACAAUCCCAGCCUCAAUCCUUGUUCAGGGAGGUUUGACCAUGCUAACACAAUCCCAGCCUCAAUUCUUGUUCAGGCUGGUUUGACCAUGCUAACACAAUCCCAGCCUCAAUCCUUGUUCAGGGAGGUUUGAUCAUGCUAACACAAUCCCAGCCUCAAUCCUUGUUCAGGCUGGUUUGACCAUGCUAACACAAUCCCAGCCUCAAUCCUUGUUCAGGCUGGUUUGAUCAUGCUAACACAAUCCCAGCCUCAAUCCUUGUUCAGGGAGGUUUGAUCAUGCUAACACAAUCCCAGCCUCAAUCCUUGUUCAGGCUGGUUUGAUCAUGCUAACACAAUCCCAGCCUCAAUCCUUGUUCAGGCUGGUUUGAUCAUGCUAACACAAUCCCAGCCUCAAUCCUUGUUCAGGGAGGUUUGAUCAUGCUAACACAUGUCGUCACUGACUACGGUGAAUGCUUAACCAGACCAGCCCAGUGCAGCUUGGUC